rnacentral:rRNA from 1 species
UAUAAGUUCAAACGAUUAUAUCGUGAAACCGCGAACGGCUCAUUAUAACAGCUAUAAUUUACUUGAUCUUGACAAGUUACUUGGAUAACUGUGGUAAUUCUAGAGCUAAUACAUGCACAAAAGCUCUGACCUUGCGGAAAGAGUGCAUUUAUUAGAACAAAACCAGGCGACCUCAGGGUCGUUAUUUGUUGACUCAGAAUAACUAAGCUGAUCGCAUGGUCUAGUACCGGCGACGUGUCUUUCAAGUAUCUGCCCUAUCAACUUUCGAUGGUAGUGUAUCUGACUACCAUGGUGAUUACGGGUAACGGAGGAUAAGGGUUCGACUCCGGAGAAGGGGCCUGAGAAAUGGCCACUACGUCUAAGGAUGGCAGCAGGCGCGCAAAUUACCCACUCUCAGAAUGAGGAGGUAGUGACGAGAAAUAACGAGACUGUUCUCUUUGAGGCCAGUCAUCGGAAUGGGUACAAUCUAAACCCUUUAACGAGUAUCUAUGAGAGGGCAAGUCUGGUGCCAG